rnacentral:rRNA from 1 species
CAACUGAAGAGUUUGAUCCUGGCUCAGAUUGAACGCUGGCGGCGUGGCUAAAGCAUGCAAGUCGAACGCACCCGCAAGGGUGAGUGGCGAAAGGGUCAGUAAUAACAUCGAACGUACCCCGAGGUGUGGGAUAGGCAUGGGAAACUGUGCGUAAUACCACAUGAUCUCUCCGGAGCAAAGGUUUACCGCCUUGGGAUCGGCGAUGUUCCUAUCAGCUAGUUGGCGGGGUAACGGCCCACCAAGGCGAUGACGGGUAGCCGGUGUGAGAGCACGACCGGCGACAUCGGGACUGAGACACUGCCCGGACUCCUACGGGAGGCUGCAGCGACGAAUCUUCCGCAAUGGGCGCAAGCCUGACGGAGCGACGCCGCGUGUGGGAUGAAGCGCCUACGGCGUGUAAACCACUGUCAGGGGGCAGAACCAACGAUCGCCCCCAGAGGAAGAGACGGCUAACCCUGUGCCAGCAGCCGCGGUAAGACAGGGGUCUCAAGCGUUAGUCGGAAUCACUGGGCUUAAAGGGUGCGUAGGCGGGCCAUCAAGUGCUUCGUGAAAUCCCCCGGCUCAACCGGGGAACAGCGGGGCAUACUGAUGGCCUCGAGGCAGGUAUGGGCGGGCGGAACUGUAGGUGGAGCGGUGAAAUGCGUAGAUAUCUACAGGAACGCCGAUGGUGAAGACGGCCCGCUGGGCCUGUCCUGACGCUGAGGCACGAAAGCGUGGGGAGCAAACAGGAUUAGAUACCCUGGUAGUCCACGCCGUAAACGAUGCUCGCUAGAUCGGGGUGGCUCUGACGCCGGCUCGGUCGAAGCAAAAGCGAUAAGCGAGCCGCCUGGGGAGUACGGUCGCAAGGCUAAAACUCAAAGGAAUUGACGGGGGCUCACACAAGCGGUGGAGCAUGUUGCUUAAUUCGAGGCAACGCGAAGAACCUUACCUGGGUUUGACAUGGUCGGAUUAACCCCGUGAAAGCGGGGCCACGCCCGCAAGGGUGGAACGAUCACAGGUGCUGCAUGGCUGUCGUCAGCUCGUGCUGUGAAGUGUCGGGUUAAGUCCCUUAACGAGCGCAACCCCUGUCGCUAGUUGCUCGGCGCAAGCCAGUACUCUAGCGAGACUGCCGGUGUCAAACCGGAGGAAGGUGGGGAUGACGUCAAGUCCUCAUGGCCCUUACAUCCAGGGUUGCAAACGUGCUACAAUGGCGCGCACAAAGCGUCGCGAGGCCGCAAGGCGGAGCAAAUCGCAAAAAACGCGCCCCAGUUCGGAUUGCAGGCUGCAACUCGCCUGCAUGAAGUCGGAAUCGCUAGUAAUCGGAGAUCAGCUACGCUCCGGUGAAUAAGUUCCUGAGCCUUGUACACACCGCCCGUCAAGUCAUGGGAGCCGGUAGCGCCCGAAGCCGCCACACUACUGUGGUGUCCACGGCAAGAUCGGUGACUGGGACUAAGUCGUAACAAGGUAGCCGUAGGAGAACCUGCGGCUGGAUCACCUCCUUU